UACGUAGGGUGCAAGCGUUAAUCGGAAUUACUGGGCGUAAAGCGUGCGCAGGCGGUUAUGUAAGACAGUUGUGAAAUCCCCGGGCUCAACCUGGGAACUGCAUCUGUGACUGCAUAGCUAGAGUACGGUAGAGGGGGAUGGAAAUUCCGCGUGUAGCAGUGAAAUGCGUAGAUAUCGGGAGGAACACCAGUGGCGAAGGCGACUACCUGGCCUGUUCUUGACGCUGAG
rnacentral:rRNA from 1 species